rnacentral:misc_RNA from 1 species
GAUGAAGAACGCAGCGAAACGCGAUAAGUAAUGUGAAUUGCAGAAUUCAGUGAGUCAUCGAAUCUUUGAACGCACAUUGCGCCCUGUGGUAUUCCGCAGGGCAUGCCUGUUCGAGCGUCAUUUCAACCCUCAAGCUCUGCUUGGUGUUGGGCCCUGCCCGCUGCGGCCGGCCCUAAAGACAGUGGCGGUGCCGCCUGGCCCUGAGCGUAGUACAUCUCUCGCUCCAGUGCCCGGUGGUAGCCUGCCAGAACCCCAACUCUCGUGGUUGACCUCGGAUCAGGUAGGGAUACCCGCUGAACUUAAGCAUAUCAAUAAGCGGAGGA